UGCUGUCAGCGGGUGCAAGUGG
rnacentral:miRNA from 1 species